rnacentral:rRNA from 1 species
AGUGAACGCUGGCGGUAGGCCUAACACAUGCAAGUCGAACGGCAGCACAGUAAGAGCUUGCUCUUACGGGUGGCGAGUGGCGGACGGGUGAGGAAUACAUCGGAAUCUACUUUUUCGUGGGAGAUAACGUAGGGAAACUUACGCUAAUACCGCAUACGAUCUACGGGUGAAAGCAGGGGAUCUUCGGACCUUGCGCGAUUGAAUGAGCCGAUGUCGGAUUAGCUAGUUGGCGGGGUAAAGGCCCACCAAGGCGACGAUCCGUAGCUGGUCUGAGAGGAUGAUCAGCCACACUGGAACUGAGACACGGUCCAGGCUCCUACGGGACGCAGCAGUGGGGAAUAUUGGACAAUGGGCGCAAGCCUGAUCCAACCAUACCGCGUGGGUGAAGAAGGCCUUCGGGUUGUAAAGCCCUUUUGUUGGGAAAGAAAAGCAGCAGGUUAAUACCCCGCUGUUCUGACGGUACCCAAAGAAUAAGCACCGGCUAACUUCGUG